GAGCAGCCCAGAGCCUGAAUCAGUAUGUGUGUUAGUGGAAGCGUCUGGAAAGGCGCGCGAUACAGGGUGACAGCCCCGUACACAAAAAUGCACAUGCUGUGAGCUCGAUGAGUAGGGCGGGACACGUGGUAUCCUGUCUGAAUAUGGGGGGACCAUCCUCCAAGGCUAAAUACUCCUGACUGACCGAUAGUGAACCAGUACCGUGAGGGAAAGGCGAAAAGAACCCCGGCGAGGGGAGUGAAAAAGAACCUGAAACCGUGUACGUACAAGCAGUGGGAGCACGCUUAGGCGUGUGACUGCGUACCUUUUGUAUAAUGGGUCAGCGACUUAUAUUCUGUAGCAAGGUUAACCGAAUAGGGGAGCCGAAGGGAAACCGAGUCUUAACUGGGCGUUAAGUUGCAGGGUAUAGACCCGAAACCCGGUGAUCUAGCCAUGGGCAGGUUGAAGGUUGGGUAACACUAACUGGAGGACCGAACCGACUAAUGUUGAAAAAUUAGCGGAUGACUUGUGGCUGGGGGUGAAAGGCCAAUCAAACCGGGAGAUAGCUGGUUCUCCCCGAAAGCUAUUUAGGUAGCGCCUCGUGAAUUCAUCUCCGGGGGUAGAGCACUGUUUCGGCAAGGGGGUCAUCCCGACUUACCAACCCGAUGCAAACUGCGAAUACCGGAGAAUGUUAUCACGGGAGACACACGGCGGGUGCUAACGUCCGUCGUGAAGAGGGAAACAACCCAGACCGCCAGCUAAGGUCCCAAAGUCAUGGUUAAGUGGGAAACGAUGUGGGAAGGCCCAGACAGCCAGGAUGUUGGCUUAGAAGCAGCCAUCAUUUAAAGAAAGCGUAAUAGCUCACUGGUCGAGUCGGCCUGCGCGGAAGAUGUAACGGGGCUAAACCAUGCACCGAAGCUGCGGCAGCGACGCUGAUGCGUUGUUGGGUAGGGGAGCGUUCUGUAAGCCUGCGAAGGUGUGCUGUGAGGCAUGCUGGAGGUAUCAGAAGUGCGAAUGCUGACAUAAGUAACGAUAAAGCGGGUGAAAAGCCCGCUCGCCGGAAGACCAAGGGUUCCUGUCCAACGUUAAUCGGGGCAGGGUGAGUCGACCCCUAAGGCGAGGCCGAAAGGCGUAGUCGAUGGGAAACAGGUUAAUAUUCCUGUACUUGGUGUUACUGCGAAGGGGGGACGGAGAAGGCUAUGUUGGCCGGGCGACGGUUGUCCCGGUUUAAGCGUGUAGGCUGGUUUUCCAGGCAAAUCCGGAAAAUCAAGGCUGAGGCGUGAUGACGAGGCACUGCGGUGCUGAAGCAACAAAUGCCCUGCUUCCAGGAAAAGCCUCUAAGCAUCAGGUAACAUCAAAUCGUACCCCAAACCGACACAGGUGGUCAGGUAGAGAAUACCAAGGCGCUUGAGAGAACUCGGGUGAAGGAACUAGGCAAAAUGGUGCCGUAACUUCGGGAGAAGGCACGCUGAUAUGUAGGUGAAGUCCCUCGCGGAUGGAGCUGAAAUCAGUCGAAGAUACCAGCUGGCUGCAACUGUUUAUUAAAAACACAGCACUGUGCAAACACGAAAGUGGACGUAUACGGUGUGACGCCUGCCCGGUGCCGGAAGGUUAAUUGAUGGGGU
rnacentral:rRNA from 1 species